CUUUUGAUUAUAAUUUAAGGUCUGGCCUGCCCACUGAGGUUUUAAAUGGCCGCGGUAAUUUGACCGUGCAAAGGUAGCAUAAUCAUUAGUUUUUUAAUUGAAAGCUGGAAUGAAAGGUCGGAUGAGAAAAUAGCUGUCUCUAUUUAAAUUUAAUAGAAUUUUAUUUUUAAGUAAAAAAGCUUAAAUUUUAUUAGAAGACGAGAAGACCCUAUAGAGUUUUAUUUAUUUUUAUGAGUAAAAAAUAAGUAUUUAUUUUUUUUUAUAUAAAGAUGAAUUUAGUUGGGGUGAUUGAAAAAUUUAAUAAACUUUUUUUAUAUUUUUACAUUAAUUUAUGUGUAUUUGAUCCUUAAAUAGAGAUUAAAAGAUAAAAUUACCUUAGGGAUAACAGCGUAAUUUUUUUASAGAGUUCUAAUCGAAAAAAAAGAUUNNNACCUCGAUGUUGGAUUAAAAUAAAAUUUUGGUGUAGAAGCUAAA
rnacentral:rRNA from 1 species